GACCUCAAAUCAGGUAGGGCUACCCGCUGAACUUAAGCAUAUCAAUAAGCGGAGGAAAAGAAACUAACAAGGAUUCCCUUAGUAACGGCGAGUGAACUGGGAAGAGCUCAAAUUUGGAAUCUGACGUCCUCCGGGCGUCCGAGUUGUAGUCUACAGAAGUGUUUUCUGUGCCGGACCGUGUCCAAGUUCCUUGGAACAGGAUAUCAGAGAGGGUGACAAUCCCGUACUCGACACGGCGACCGACGCUCUGUGAUACAUUCUCUACGAGUCGAGUUGUUUGGGAAUGCAGCUCAAAACGGGUGGUGAGUUCCAUCUAAGGCUAAAUAUUGGCGA
rnacentral:rRNA from 1 species